rnacentral:rRNA from 1 species
UACGGAGGGUGCGAGCGUUGUCCGGAAUCACUGGGCGUAAAGGGCGCGUAGGCGGCCUGAUAAGUAGGGGGUGAAAUCCUGCGGCUUAACCGCAGGGCUGCCUUCUAAACUGUCAGGCUGGAGCACAGUAGAGGCAGGUGGAAUUCCCGGUGUAGCGGUGGAAUGCGUAGAGAUCGGGAAGAACAUCAGUGGCGAAGGCGGCCUGCUGGGCUGUUGCUGACGCUGAGGCGCGAAAGCUAGGGGAGCGAACGGG